UACGGAGGGUGCAAGCGUUAUCCGGAUUCACUGGGUUUAAAGGGUGCGUAGGUGGGUUGGUAAGUCAGUGGUGAAAUCCCCGAGCUUAACUUGGGAACUGCCAUUGAUACUGGCAAUCUAGAGUCCGGAAGAGGUUAGUGGAAUUCCCAGUGUAGAGGUGAAAUUCGUAGAUAUUGGGAAGAACACCAGUGGCGAAGGCGGCUAACUGGUCCGGUACUGACGCUGAGGUGCGAAAGCGUGGGGAGCAAACAGG
rnacentral:rRNA from 1 species